rnacentral:tRNA from 1 species
GAGGGUAUGGCUCAGUGGUAGAGCUCGUGCUUAGCAUGAACCAGAUCCUGGGUUCAGUCCCCGGUACCUCCA